rnacentral:rRNA from 1 species
UACAGAGGUCUCAAGCGUUGUUCGGAUUCAUUGGGCGUAAAGGGUGCGUAGGCGGCGGGGCAAGUCUGGUGUGAAAUCCCGGGGCUCAACCCCGGAACUGCACUGGAUACUGCCUUGCUAGAGUACUGGAGAGGGAACUGGAAUUUACGGUGUAGCAGUGAAAUGCGUAGAGAUCGUAAGGAAGACCAGUGGCGAAGGCGAGUUCCUGGACAGUAACUGACGCUGAGGCACGAAGGCCAGGGGAGCGAACGGGAUUAGAAA